ACUCAAAUAGCUUAAAGAGAGCGUUAUGUUGAAGCCGUAAAAGUGGUAUGUUUGCCUUUGAGUA
rnacentral:tRNA from 1 species